GACGAAGGGGGCUAGCGUUGUUCGGAAUUACAGGGCGUAAAGCGCGUGUAGGCGGUUGCCCAAGUCGGGUGUGAAAGCCUUGAGCUCAACUCAAGAAAUGCACUCGGUACUGGGUGACUAGAGGACCGGAGAGGAUAGUGGAAUUCCCAGUGUAGUGGUGAAAUACGUAGAGAUUGGGAAGAACACCAGUGGCGAAGGCGGCUAUCUGGACGGUUUCUGACGCUAAGACGCGAAAGCGUGGGGAGCAAACAGG
rnacentral:rRNA from 1 species